rnacentral:lncRNA from 11 species
AAAGUGUCUCCUAGAACCGGUCCGAUGAGUCUAGAGUUCCCACAUCAGAGGAACCCAUCAAAGGAUCUCGGCAUUGUUUUCCCAGCUGAAACUCAUUGGGAAACUCCAACUGAAAGGAUUAAGCCAUCUGCCAAACUAUUAAAGCCAUUAACCUUGAACCUUGCCCAUAUUCCUCC